GUGAUCGCGCUGUCGCUCCAGUCCAUGUCGCUGUCGGGCCCCGUCCCCUCCGCCCUGCAGUUCUGCCGCGCCGCCACCACCCUCGACCUCUCCUCCAACGCCCUCUCGGGGCCCAUCCCCCCCGACCUCUGCUCCUGGCUCCCCUACCUCGUCACCCUCGACCUCUCCUCCAACUCCCUCUCGGGGCCCAUCCCCACCGACCUCUCCGCCUGCCGCUUCCUCAACAGCCUCCGCCUCGCCUCCAACCGCCUCUCCGGCUCCGUCCCGGCCUCCCUCGCCCGCCUCGACCGCCUCAAGACUCUCGACCUCUCCGACAACUCCCUCUCCGGCCCCGUCCCCCCGGCCC
rnacentral:lncRNA from 1 species